rnacentral:lncRNA from 1 species
CUUGUUCAUAAAUAUUUAAUUGUGCUUUCUAUUCGUACAUAAUUUUAUAAUGGUAUUAUUGUUUUCCCCUUUACCCUUACGAAAGGUUAAAAAAAAAUAGAAUUAUUUACAGGAAAAAGUAAACUAAAGUUUGUAAAAUUGUAUUCAAUUAUAUUAAUUAUUAUUUUUAUCACAUGAAGUCCUUUAAUGUGUGCUAAAUGAACAAAAAUAACACAUUGAUAUAUUUAAGUGAUAUUUACUAAUAAUUCUAAAAUUAUGAAGAGCCUUUAAAAAUUUAUAAUGCUUAAACUAUUUAAUUAUUUCUACAAUAAGGUGGAGUAUGUUUGUGAUUUCUAAAAAACGUAUUUAUAGAUCAUUUGGCCAUUCAUAAGAUUAUAAGGAAAUAUUUUUAUUACAUGUUUUUUUUUCAUGUGUAGAGGCAAUGUUCCUUCAAUAGUCAGAUGAUUAAUUUUAGUGGUUGUAAAAGAGAUAAAGAUUGUCCACAAUUUCGAGGAGUUAAUAUUAGGUGUCGUAGUGGCUUUUGUACACCGAUAGACAGUUAAAGAUUAUGUUUCUCUAUUUUAAGAACCUUGAAGUUAUGACUUUGUAUUAUAAGAUGAUGAAAAUGAAAUGAGGAAGCAAAGAGUUUUAUUUAUAGGAUCUCCUUGGAACUAAUUUGUUGUUCUUGCUUCUAAGAGUACUAAUCAGAUUCCUUGGAACUUAAGAAAUCGUUGGAACAAUGUCAAGGUAAUUCUCCAGGGCCUCAAAUGUAUUAUCUCACAUAUAUAUAGAGAAGGAAACCAAGUAGCUGACACAUUGGCUAAUCAUGGUUUAUCUCUUGAUUCUAUUCACUUUUGGAAUGAUGUACCAGAGUUCACUAGGGCCAGUUACUUUAGGAAUAAAGAUGGCUGGUCCAAUUUCAGAUUUUCUUAUUAGUUGGGAAGUUUCGGCCUAGUCCCCUUCCCUUUGUAUUUCUGUUCUCUUUUUAAUGAAAUUGAGGUUGGUUUGCAUCUAUGCAUCCAGCCUUUUUGGCUUA